GCAGGCCUACAAUGGAAUGCAUUGUUCCAGCCCAUAAUCAGAGCGGACAUGGAACUUGGCUGGGAGGAUCGUCCCUGCAGCCCUGGACACAGCUGCCGUGACUCGAGUUUAUAGUCCCUGCAUUCUGCUUUCAUCAGCAGCCUUCUCUCUGUCUCUCUCAAUGUCUUUCCCAUUCAGACCUAGUUUUUCCCUCCUCGUGCUGCUCUGUGGUGUAGUGUCCAAGAGAUGAACCACACAAGACAACAUUUAAUGGAUUCUCCAACUUUUUUGUGUAUGUUCAUGGUUUCCUCUUUCCAUAAACAGAUACAGUGUGGCAAGCAAAGAGGGAUGUUAAUACAACACAUUUGGCACCAUAAUCAUAAGUUUCGUACUGAGAAUGGAAAUACUUGAUAAAAGGAAAACUUCAACUCCACUGUUCUCUUUCCAACCGGCCAACUGCCUUAUAAUCUCUACCACUGUCUUAUAAUGUCUAAAGCUGCCACUUGCUCAGUGGAAAAUGCAGUGACCUCCACUAGAGAAGUAAGAGGUUUAUUGGUUGAUCCAGUUUGCAGUCUCAUGAUGGUGUGGCAGUGUUUAUAAUAAUAUAAAUCCACAGUUUAAAUAAAGACACAAGUAAUAUCCAACAGUCAACUCAGUUUCCAAACAUAGAGCCAUGCAGGGAGUGCCACACCUUCACAUUCACUAAUAUACACAGAUGAUUAAAAAAAUUGGCUCUGGUGUGAUUUUCCCUCCGCUCAUGUUUAACUCCCCGCCCUCUAAGCUUGCAUGUCAGAGCCCUGUCAAGUGGCCUGUCAGCAAUGUGUUAAAGAAUACUUCUCACCUCUCAGCUUUUCCAAUCAGAUGGAGUAUUGGUGUUGUGUAUGUUGGCUGCGUACUUUGCAGGCUGUGGUUCUGCAGGGUGCUGUGUAGCAGCAGGAGGGGGAGUUUAUGUAUGUAAGGGACAUUAUGUAAGGCUUCAGUCAGGUCUCUCUGGAACCUUUUAGCAGUGCACUGAGCAAAUUGUGUAGGUCCAUAGGUCAGGUGUUCAAACUCAGAUUGAGUCCCAUAUGUUGUGCAUUUCUCCUGUACCUCUGCUGUUCCUGUGUAAUUGGCAGGUAAUGUUUCAGCCCCUGCCCAAUCUUCUCUUGCUAUUCUUUGCUCUAGAUUAAUGACAUAGCCAUUGGUGGCUGCAGACCUGGCAGUAUGCCAGAGAGGGGCCAACCACAGAUACAUUAUAUACUGCCAGCUUUCACCAAGGUGUGCAUUUCAAGACAACCCUCCUCCAUUUUAUAUGGCAUGUUUAUCUCCUACUAACUCAAGGCUAGAUGGGACAUUGUUUUUUUUUUAACUUCAGUUAGAUCUCUGUAACCGUUCCCAGGAGGCCAGGUUUGCCAUUAUCAGUGUAAAUCAGAGCAGCAAAUUCAUUACCAAUACCAACUGCUUUAGAAAAAUUCCAUCAAUCAAAGAACUAUCUUCAAUCACAAUAAACAGGGUCAGAGGUAAGAACUAUCACACAACUGAAACCCUAUCCAAUCCGUGUCCUGUUGAAAACAGUUGCUAAUAUUUGAAUUGGAAAGUAGCAUGCUGUGUUUUUUCUAUGAUGUUUUUCCACCGGGCAUGACAAGUCUGCCAAAUAUUAUCUGCUAUGGUUUCUUAUUUUGAGCCUAGUGUGUUAAAACUUUAUCUUGAAGUGGAAAUGCCAACUAUAGUAAUGUUUGAUUGCAUGAAAAUAGGGAAGAGUGGUUCUGUUCCUCUAACGGUGAGUGACUUUAAAUUAUGUGAAGUUUCAUACUUAGUUCAUUCUGACACACUCUGUCUAUCAAUGCUUACCCAGUGUGACUAAGAACCAAAGCCCAGGGUGGCUGACUAGACAGUCCUCUCAGCACAGGCACGAGAAGUGUGACCAGCUAGGAGCAUGUUUCUGAGCCGAUACUCAAACACCAUAUCACUUGACAUGACAGGAUGUGAUCAGCUUAUAAUAUUAUGAAAUCUGGAGAGAAUGACUUCAACACAGUUCCUCAAGCAUUAAUGCCAUGGACGUUUCAUUUCUCCUUUGACUGUUGAUGUUCGUUAUAUCAGGAUUUGCUGUAAUACCUGGUAUGUCUGCUGUUUUCUCAGUUAUGCAAAUACACCACCAUUCUCGGCAGACAGGUGAGUCAUUUUAAACCAGUCCUAAGAUAAGGCUGAUAUCUGUCUUUCAGCCUUUUGUGACUGUGAUUAUACUUGUUAUCUGAGGUUUCUGUGAGUAAUUAGGUUAUCAAAGAAUGGCCCUUCUUAGUACUCACUCAAGCGUCCACUAUGGGUAAUAACAGUGGAAUAUGUUGUGUGACUAAUAAUAUGUGUGGCUUUGCUUGUGUGUGCAUGUGUGAGAAAAAAAAGGGGGAUAAGCCCUAUUUACCUUUGGCAUUUACUUAUGGUUUACACUGAAGAUAAGCAGUUCACUGGCCUACAGGGAGAGAGUGUGACAUGUUGAGGCCUGAAAAAGAAGAGACUGUAGUGUUGCUUCACUGAUGACAGGAAACAGAUGCAUUCUGAAACAAACAGGGAAGAAGCACGAAUUCUGAAACAUGCAUUCGAAAAGGUUUUAAGAAUCGAAAUUUCAUACUGCUGCCUCUAGAAUGUGCUGAUAGAGCCAGACAGAAUCCAUAUUCUUGUUAGAUCAUGGUGUUUACUGUAUUACAUUACAGUUACAGCCUGACACAAAAGAAUCACCAUCACACAUUUAGCAAACAUCAGUGCACACUUGCCAAAUGGUGUCUAGUGAAAGUAUUUAGUUUGCAAAUUGCUUGUCUCACAAAUGAAUAAAUAUGUCUCAUUUCUAUUUUUCACAGAGCAGUGCGAUUAUCAGCAAAAAAGAAUCAAGGGCAGGUGUUGUCUUGACAACGGUGUGGUUUUUCAUGUGGCUCUAACCAGGUCUGUUGGAGGUGUGAUGCAGGAAGCACAUGAAAGUUAUAGGUGGUUUUGUGCUCUAGUAUGUUUGUAUGUGUGCAUGUCUAUCAACGUCGCUCAAAUGUCAAAGCCAAUGCUGCAGCAAAGACAGACAAGAUAUUUAACUCAUCAGUUUGCCAAGACUCUUCUGACUUGUGUUUGUGCGUCAUUUUGAGAGUCAGAUUUUCAUAUAAACAGUUCUCCAGUAACUAGUUCAAAUUUCUUAGAAUGAAAAGGCCAAUUCUCAUGAUUGAAAUUUUGCUUUUUAUUCAAAAGAUGUAUUUGAGGUGUGUUUUUCUUUAGAUGUGUUUUGAAUAAAAAAAGAGUUAAGCCCCUUUUGUUUGAACACUCCCAUUUAUCAUGUGAUAAUAAAUAUUGGAACACAUGACUGUCAGGUGUUUCUUGUUGCUCUGGUGUGUCCUGUUAGACUGAUUGCUUAGACAAUUAAUAGCUCUAAAUGUCUAAUAUUGUUUUGAUCUCUGAAUACAAAGGUUGAGAAAGAAAAAAAGAAAAAACUAAGUGCUCGUAGGUUAAGCAAAGUGGUGGUAGUGUCAUCCUUGCUUCUGGAACUGGCUCACAAAUUUUUAUUGGUUAUGUAACUAAUGAAGGAAACAGCAAAAUGAAUUCAGAAGUUUACAGAAACAUUCUGUUUGCCAACUUAGAAGUGACCCAAAACACACUGCCAGUACAACAAAGGACUUCAUCAGCAAGGUUUUAGACUGGCCAAGUCAAUCAACAGAGCUUAACUUUACUGAGCAGCAUUCCACGUCCUGAGAGGAGACUGAAGAAAGAAGCCAAAAUAAACUAUGACUGAGGAUGUGGUACAAGUCUAGAAAAGAAGAAAGCAACAGUUGGGUGAUGUCAGUGGGUCAUUAAAACUUGAUGCAAUUGCAUGGGAUAUGCUAUUAAAUAUGAAGUGAAGUGACAUACAGCUAAGUACGGUGACCCAUACUCAGAAUUUGUUCUCUGCAUUUAACCCAUCCAAAGUGCACACACACAGCA